CUUGGAUUCAGCCACUAGAGGGCAGUACAGGACAAACAAAGAAGUGACUGACCUUGACCUUUUCCAAUAAGCUACAAUCAACAAUGGGCCACCUGCUGAAUGACAAGCUUGCGAUAGCAGCCUUCACUGCAAAUCUCAAAGCGCUCCGAGGCGGCUUCACUAUGCUCACAGGGAGUUCUGAGAAGAGCAAAGGCAAUACAUCGCUAUCACAGACAAGCCAGGCACAGUGAAUUGAUUCAAAGGAAAUGAAACACUCACCCUCCACCUCUAGGUACAUCAUCCAGCGAUACUUCACACAUAAAGACAGCAUUCUGGUCCUCUUGAAUAUCCAGAUCUUCCAGACUCUGCAACACUUCCAGCUCCCUCUCUGUCCCGAAAGCAAAUCACACAGUUGCAGCCACUGCAUAUCUGCAUUCAACCGAGUGUGAAUGCUUUAAUUCAAAACUACAACCAUGACUUCUUUAAAACUGAAGCUACAGGUCAGAGAUAUGAGUCUGAUACCAGAUUCUCAAAGCUUUGUCAAGGCAGUUUUAUAUGACCAGCUUAACCUAGGACCACUGUGUGACUGGCUGGCAACCUUUCCUGACCAUCAUUCUCAAAAGAAGAACAGGAUAUCUCCAAAAUGAAGGGGGGAAAUAUUGCAAGAAAUUCUGCAGACUAUAGUUAAUUCACACUGAUUGGAGUGUAACCUGUAAUGGAUGAGU